GAUGAACGCUGGCGGCGUGCCUAAUACAUGCAAGUCGAGCGAACAGACGAGGAGCUUGCUCCUCUGACGUUAGCGGCGGACGGGUGAGUAACACGUGGAUAACCUACCUAUAAGACUGGGAUAACUUCGGGAAACCGGAGCUAAUACCGGAUAAUAUAUUGAACCGCAUGGUUCAAUAGUGAAAGACGGUUUUGCUGUCACUUAUAGAUGGAUCCGCGCCGCAUUAGCUAGUUGGUAAGGUAACGGCUUACCAAGGCAACGAUGCGUAGCCGACCUGAGAGGGUGAUCGGCCACACUGGAGCUGAGACGCGGUCCAGACUCCUACGGGAGGCAGCAGUAGGGAAUCUUCCGCAAUGGGCGAAAGCCUGACGGAGCAGCGCCGCGUGAGUGAUGAAGGUCUUCGGAUCGUAAAGCUCUGUUAUUAGGGAAGAACAAAUGUGUAAGUAACUAUGCACGUCUUGACGGUACCUAAUCAGAAAGCCACGGCUAACUACGUG
rnacentral:rRNA from 1 species